rnacentral:rRNA from 1 species
CAAACUAGGAUUAGAUACCCUACUAUGCUAAGCCCUGAACAUUGAUAGUUACUAAUACAAUACUUUCCGCCAGAGAACUACAAGUGAAAAACUUAAAACUCAAAGGACUUGACGGUGUCCCAUAUCGACCUAGAGGAGCCUGUCCU